GGUGGUGUCAGUGCUUUAAACAUGUUAAAUGCAGUGUGCUUUGUCGCGCUGUGCUGAUCCGUCCAGAAAACCUGGGGGUAUCGAAAUACUUUCUGCAUUCAAAGACUUAUUCGGAACAAAUGUAUAUUAAUGAGACUACAGCUUGGGACCCGGAAGCUUGUUAUUUUAUUUUGUCACAUGGCUUUGAGAUUUCAAUAACAACAAAAAAUGGCGACAAUCACGUUGUUCGAUGUGGGCUUGCUGCGUCAUAAAGAUAUUCACGUAAACACCUGGGAUACACACGACAUUACGUGUAAGUAUGACUUGCAUAUGACUGGUACUAGUUAUAACAUUCUGUUAUAUUAGUAGCGAAUAUUUAUUUUUGACAUGGUAAGACGUGGUAUUUGUUUUUGACUUGAAAGGGGUGUGUGCGGGCGGUGGUGGUGCUGGGCGUUAGCAUUCCCCUCAGCAGCUAACGUUACGAUUUAACAAGAAAUGUAACGAAUUCUUUAACAGUCGUUGAUUGUAAAUGUCCGAGUUUCGAAAUUAUUCGACUACUAUUGUCAACAAUAAUGAUUAACAACUUGAGGGGUGGUAUGCUGUACCUGAGUGAACUUCUGUAUUAUUUAUAACAGAUUGGUUAACCAACGGCGUGCUAUCAAACAUGUUUAUUUUUUUAGUAGGCUAAAGGAUUUAGUUGAUAGUCCGCUUUACCGUUCAUGUAAGUCACAGUUUUUUUGCCGUUAAUGGAACUGUUGUGACAUACCCCAUGUUUUCCCUAAUUGAGCAGCGUGUGCAUGCAUUUUGCCUGGAUACAGACAGCGCGUAUUUCUUGGAGCUGAUCUAGUGAACAGUCUGUGCAAGGGGUGCGAGACAAGUUGUUUGUCUAGUGUAAGUAAAACUGGCGUGUUACAAGCGAUGCUUCAACUUUAGGCUAAGCAUAUGCUAUUUCAUUAAGGAUUGUAAUAGGCGUUCCCCACUGCUCUGUGAUAGCGAGAAGAGAGAGCUAAUCGAGUUGUUUACAAGAAGCGAUUUGCACGGAGGGCGGGGAGCUUUAGGGAGGAGCCCCAGUGGUCAAGCUACGCGACUGGACUUCCAGAGAAACAUCUAGCUCCGAGGGCGGAGUCCCGUAGACCACAACAAGUCUGACGUAAGCGUGAUGUUAUCAGAGUGCUGAUGCUGUCCAUCUUAAAGGUACAGUACUGUGAUAACUGAAGGAUGGCAGCCAUCUUGACACCACUGAUUCAACAUGGCCUAUGGAGGGCCCUCUCUCACAGCUGGGGAAAAAGGACAUUUUGUCACAAUGUACUGUAAUGUGAACAGUUUUAAUUAAAAUUCAAGAACCACAACCAA